rnacentral:rRNA from 1 species
ACUCCUACGGGAGGCAGCAGUGGGGAAUUUUGGACAAUGGGCGAAAGCCUGAUCCAGCAAUGCCGCGUGUGUGAAGAAGGCCUUCGGGUUGUAAAGCACUUUUGUCCGGAAAGAAAUCCUUGGCUCUAAUACAGUCGAGGGAUGACGGUACCGGAAGAAUAAGCACCGGCUAACUACGUGCCAGCAGCCGCGGUAAUACGUAGGGUGCGAGCGUUAAUCGGAAUUACUGGGCGUAAAGCGUGCGCAGGCGGUUUGCUAAGACCGAUGUGAAAUCCCCGGGCUCAACCUGGGAACUGCAUUGGUGACUGGCAGGCUAGAGUAUGGCAGAGGGGGGUAGAAUUCCACGUGUAGCAGUGAAAUGCGUAGAGAUGUGGAGGAAUACCGAUGGCGAAGGCAGCCCCCUGGGCCAAUACUGACGCUCAUGCACGAAAGCGUGGGGAGCAAACAGGAUUAGAUACCCUUGUAGUCC